rnacentral:tRNA from 1 species
GGGCGAUUGGCGCAGUGGUAGCGCGCUUCCCUGACACGGAAGAGGUCACUGGUUCAAACCCAGUAUCGCCCACCC